UACACCAAACUCUUCCCUUCUCAAAGGCCCU
rnacentral:piRNA from 1 species